rnacentral:lncRNA from 1 species
AUGCCAAUAGUAAAACAAUUGUUUACGGCUUCUAUAUACUUUAAACCGCAAACCGCGUUAGAGUUGAAACCGCAUGUGAUGCAGUUGCAAGAACGCCCAAAUGCAUGCUUUGGCUAGAAAUUACCGAAGAUGGCAUAGAGGCUUGUUGACGAGCUUGACGUCUAACUCCAACGCGUAAUUCGCCGUUUCCCCCUCUAUAAACAAAGAUAUUUUAGUAAAAGUGUAUUAAAGACAAAAAUCCAAUAGCAACAGAACCGAUUGAACUAAAAACGGUACCUAAGGAAUACGAAUGAGUCGCCAGCCACUAAUCGCUUGUUAGUAACGAAAGUACUCCAGCCUGUUGUAAGCAGAUGCCUUCGCGGUUGACCUCUGAAGAUAUGCUUGAACCGCCACUCGGUUCUGUGUAGAUCGUAGGCUGAUAACUCUUGUGUAGGAGUAGCUUGAGUCAUGUCCUGAACAUAAAAAUUCAGUAAAAUUACAACAUAAAAAAGAUAUAAUAUCGUACAAAAAAAAAAGCUAAAAGCAAAUUUACCAAAGCAGGUAAGCACUCAUUUGCAUGCUUUCGGAGCACCGAGAACCCACCAUGAGUGCUCGUAUCUGAAGCGGUCAAGACUUUGCAGAACGAGUGUACGGUCGGCCUCGCAGGCUCCGGUUUGCAUUCAUCCGGGCUCGUCGGAUCACUUUGCUGCAUAUUUUUGCAUUAUAAUUAAUAAAAACAACUUUUUUAUUACUUUAGUAAAAUGAUCAGAAAAUUCUUACAUCUGCCUCUGGAAGUAAAGUGAUUUGAGCAUAAACUUCAUCCGUGUCUUGUUCAGCCUACAAAAGCAAGAAAAAGUUAAUAAAUUUCAUAAAAUAUAAAUCAAUAUCUAGAAACAAAUGUUCUAAAAAAAUAAAAAAUAUAUAUAUACCAAUAGCUGAGUAUGAACAACACGGCAAAGAAUCUUUGAUUUUAGGUUAAAGUGAGGAAUCCUUUGAUUUAAUUCCUGAUUCAUAGAUGCUUCCAACUAAAAAAAACCAACAAAUAACAUACAAAAAUAAAGU